rnacentral:lncRNA from 1 species
UCCCCACUGCAAGCGGGGCACAGGGAGCACAGCCAGAGCCCCAAACACCCGAACAGCCCGCAGCCAGAGCACUAAGCACCCGCACUGCCCCAACAACCUGCACGGACCUGAGCACACAGAGCCCUGAGCACCCAGAGAGCACCCAGAGAGCACCCAGAGAGCACCCAGAGAGCACCCAGAGAGCACCCAGAGCUCAGGACAGCUGCGCAGCCCCAACAACCUGCAUGGACCUGAGCACACAGAGCCCUGAGCACACAGAGAGCACCCAGCACACACACGCAGAGCACCCAGCACGCACAGAGCCCUGAGCACACAGAGGGCACCCAGCACACACACGCAGGGAGCACCCAGCACCCAGAGCUCAGGGCAGCCGCACAGCCCCAACAACCUGCACGGACCUGAGCACAC